AAUGAACGCUGGCGGCGUGCUUAACACAUGCAAGUCGAGCGAGAACGUCGACUUCGGUCGACUAGUAAAGCGGCGAACGGGUGAGUAACACGUGGGUAACCUGCCCUGGAGUGGGGGAUAACCUGGGGAAACUCGGGCUAAUACCGCAUACGACCUCAGCACUGCGGUGCUGAGAGGAAAGCUGGCCAAUUCUUGAAAGCUAGCACUCCUGGAGGGGCCCGCGCCCGAUUAGCUUGUUGGUGAGGUAACGGCUCACCAAGGCGGUGAUCGGUAGCCGGCCUGAGAGGGCGAUCGGCCACACUGGGACUGAGACACGGCCCAGACUCCUACGGGAGGCAGCAGUGGGGAAUAUUGGACAAUGGGCGCAAGCCUGAUCCAGCAACGCCGCGUGGAGGACGAAGGCCUUCGGGUCGUAAACUCCUGCCAGUUGGGACGAAAAGUCGUCGGUCAAUAGCCGGCGAUCAUGACGGUACCAGCAGAGGAAGCCCCGGCUAACUCCGUGCCAGCAGCCGCGGUAAUACGGAGGGGGCUAGCGUUAUUCGGAAUUAUUGGGCGUAAAGGGCGCGUAGGCGGCUUGGUAGGUCAAAGGUGAAAUCCCUCAGCUCAACUGAGGAACUGCCUUUGAAACCACCUCGCUCGAGGCUGGGAGGGGGUAGCGGAAUUCCCG
rnacentral:rRNA from 1 species